UACAGAGGGUGCGAGCGUUGUUCGGAAUUACUGGGCGUAAAGCGCGCGCAGGCGGCCUUUUAAGUCUGACGGUGAAAUGCCGGGGCUCAACCCCGAGCGUGCCGCGGAUACUGGGAGGCUGGAGACGAGUAGAGGCAAGCGGAAUUCCGGGUGUAGCGGUGGAAUGCGUAGAGAUCCGGAAGAACACCGGAGGCGAAGGCGGCUUGCUGGGCUCGAUCUGACGCUGAGGCGCGAAAGCGUGGGGAGCGAACAGG
rnacentral:rRNA from 1 species